rnacentral:rRNA from 1 species
AAGUGGGUGAUAGUCCCGUAUAAGAAGCAUGAUUGGACGUAUUAAGUAGGGCGGAACACGUGAAAUUCUGUCUGAAGAUCGGAGGACCACCUUCGAAGGCUAAGUACUCCUUACUGACCGAUAGUGAACCAGUACCGUGAGGGAAAGGUGAAAAGCACCCCGACGAGGGGAGUGAAACAGUACCUGAAACCGAACGCCUACAAUCAGUUGGAGGGUCUUUACGGCCUGACAGCGUACCUUUUGUAUAAUGGGUCAUCGACUUGGUCUCACAAGCAAGCUUAAGCCGUUAGGUGUAGGCGUAGCGAAAGCGAGUCUUAAUAGGGCG